AUAGCUCAGCUGGUUAGAGCGCACGCCUGAUAAGCGUGAGGUCGAUGGUUCGAGUCCAUUU
rnacentral:tRNA from 1 species